rnacentral:rRNA from 1 species
GACGAACGCUGGCGGCGUGCUUAACACAUGCAAGUCGAACGGAAAGGCCCUGCUUUUGUGGGGUGCUCGAGUGGCGAACGGGUGAGUAACACGUGAGUAACCUGCCCUUGACUUUGGGAUAACUUCAGGAAACUGGGGCUAAUACCGGAUAGGAGCUCCUGCUGCAUGGUGGGGGUUGGAAAGUUUCGGCGGUUGGGGAUGGACUCGCGGCUUAUCAGCUUGUUGGUGGGGUAGUGGCUUACCAAGGCUUUGACGGGUAGCCGGCCUGAGAGGGUGACCGGCCACAUUGGGACUGAGAUACGGCCCAGACUGCUACGGGAGGCAGCAGUGGGGAAUAUUGCACAAUGGGCGGAAGCCUGAUGCAGCAACGCCGCGUGCGGGAUGACGGCCUUCGGGGUGUAAACCGCUUUCGCCUGUGACGAAGCGUGAGUGACGGUAAUGGGUAAAGAAGCACCGGCUAACUACGUG